CUUGAAGAUCGGAGUGCUUGCACUCUGUGAAACAAGAUACAGGCUAGCGGCGGACGGGUGAGUAACACGUGGGUAACCUGCCCAAGAGAUCGGGAUAACACCUGGAAACAGAUGCUAAUACCGGAUAACAACAGAUGAUGCCUAUCAACUGUUUAAAAGAUGGUUCUGCUAUCACUCUUGGAUGGACCUGCGGUGCAUUAGCUAGUUGGUAGGGUAACGGCCUACCAAGGCGAUGAUGCAUAGCCGAGUUGAGAGACUGAUCGGCCACAUUGGGACUGAGACACGGCCCAAACUCCUACGGGAGGCAGCAGUAGGGAAUCUUCCACAAUGGACGCAAGUCUGAUGGAGCAACGCCGCGUGAGUGAAGAAGGGUUUCGGCUCGUAAAGCUCUGUUGUUGGUGAAGAAGGACAGGGGUAGUAACUGACCUUUGUUUGACGGUAAUCAAUUAGAAAGUCACGGCUAACUACGUGCCAGCAGCCGCGGUAAUACGUAGGUGGCAAGCGUUGUCCGGAUUUAUUGGGCGUAAAGCGAGUGCAGGCGGCUCGAUAAGUCUGAUGUGAAAGCCUUCGGCUCAACCGGAGAAUUGCAUCAGAAACUGUCGAGCUUGAGUACAGAAGAGGAGAGUGNNNNNCCAUGUGUAGCGGUGA
rnacentral:rRNA from 1 species